UACGAAGGGGACUAGCGUUGUUCGGAAUCACUGGGCGUAAAGCGCACGUAGGCGGAUGUGUCAGUCAGGGGUGAAAUCCCGGGGCUCAACCUCGGAACUGCCUUUGAUACAGCACGUCUCGAGUCCGGAAGAGGUGGGUGGAAUUCCUAGUGUAGAGGUGAAAUUCGUAGAUAUUAGGAAGAACACCGGUGGCGAAGGCGGCCCACUGGUCCGGUACUGACGCUGAGGUGCGAAAGCGUGGGGAGCAAACAG
rnacentral:rRNA from 1 species